rnacentral:lncRNA from 1 species
UUCGUCUUCAUCUUUCUUCUUUCUUCUCCAAUCUCCACUGGUUUUUUCUAGUAGAAUAGAAAAUAGAAACAUGAGUUUGAAAAUAAAUGGUAUUUUCUCUCUCCUAAAUGUAUCAAGUGUAGCAGUGUUAUGUUUAUUGGGGAUCUUUCAAGAUUCCGUACAAGGAGGGCGGCCUUUAGUUUCUCUCUCCCGACCCAGCCCUGAUGAUGCUGCCCCCUUCGCUCGAUGUUUUUUUUUUUAAAAUUUACUUUAUCUAUAUCCUCAUAUGUUAGUGUUUUCAGAUAUGUUAAAUCCUGCAGUGCUUUAAUUAGUUUGAUGUUUUCUUUUUAUUCACCAAUUUCCUCAUGAUAACUCUGCAAGUGUUUAGAUUUGUUUGUUUGUUUAUUUUUAUUUUUUGUUUUUUUACCCCC